rnacentral:rRNA from 1 species
UACGUAGGGAGCAAGCGUUGUCCGGAAUCAUUGGGCGUAAAGCGCGCGUAGGUGGCUCUAUAAGUCCGUUGUGAAAGUCAAAGGCUCAACCUCUGAAAGCCGAUGGAUACUGUAGAGCUAGAGUCCGGAAGAGGCGAGUGGAACUCCUGGUGUAGCGGUGGAAUGCGCAGAUAUCAGGAGGAACACCAAUAGCGAAGGCAGCUCGCUGGGACGUGACUGACACUAAGGCGCGAAAGCGUGGGGAGCGAACAGG